rnacentral:lncRNA from 1 species
CCUGUAAAGUUGUCAGCAGACAAUGUCCGGUACAGAUAAUGAGUCAGUCUUAUUACUGCUACUCCUAAUGAUGUGAUGAGACUUGUGCCAGCCAGAAUGAGAGGCAGAGGGCCUGGAUCUCUUUUCCGGCGGUACCAGGCCUCCUUUUGGCACCGUUUUCCCAUUAGUGAAGAGAAAAAUACAGUACCUGCCCCAUUUGUC